rnacentral:ncRNA from 1 species
UGGUCGUUGUAAGUAAGGAAAUGCUACAAAACCGUACAUGAGAUUUGCACCUCAUACGGCUUCUCGUUCAAUUUUUUCGAAGUAGGAUAGAUUGGAUUAUUUUCAUUGAUGAGAUUCCCAAAUAGGUUAACCUUUUUAACUGCUGUUGAAUCCAUGGGUAGGCAAGAGACAACCUGGCGAACUGAAACAUCUUAGUAGCCAGAGGAAUAGAAAGCAAAAGCGAUUCCCGUAGUAGCGGCGAGCGAAAUGGGA